rnacentral:tRNA from 1 species
GUCUAAGUAGUUUAAAAAAAAUAUUGGUUUGUGGGACCAAAGAUAUAAAUUAUUUAUUUUAGACC